rnacentral:rRNA from 1 species
GGCGACCGGCGCACGGGUGAGUAACACGUAUCCAACUGCCGUCUACUCUUGGACAGCCUUCUGAAAAGGAAGAUUAAUACAAGAUGGCAUCAUGAGUUCACAUGUUCACAUGAUUAAAGGUAUUCCGGUAGACGAUGGGGAUGCGUUCCAUUAGAUAGUAGGCGGGGUAACGGCCCACCUAGUCUUCGAUGGAUAGGGGGUUCUGAGAGGAAGGUCCCCCACAUUGGAACUGAGACACGGUCCAAACUCCUACGGGAGGCAGCAGUGAGGAAUAUUGGUCAAUGGGCGAGAGCCUGAACCAGCCAAGUAGCGUGAAGGAUGACUGCCCUAUGGGUUGUAAACUUCUUUUAUAAAGGAAUAAAGUCGGGUAUGUAUACCCGUUUGCAUGUACUUUAUGAAUAAGGAUCGGCUAACUCCGUG